rnacentral:rRNA from 1 species
UGGGGAAUAUUGCACAAUGGGGGAAACCCUGAUGCAGCGACGCCGCGUGAAGGAAGAAGUAUCUCGGUAUGUAAACUUCUAUCAGCAGGGAAGAAAAUGACGGUACCUGACUAAGAAGCCCCGGCUAACUACGUGCCAGCAGCCGCGGUAAUACGUAGGGGGCAAGCGUUAUCCGGAUUUACUGGGUGUAAAGGGAGCGUAGACGGAAGAGCAAGUCUGAUGUGAAAGGCUGGGGCUUAACCCCAGGACUGCAUUGGAAACUGUUUUUCUUGAGUGCCGGAGAGGUAAGCGGAAUUCCUAGUGUAGCGGUGAAAUGCGUAGAUAUUAGGAGGAACACCAGUGGCGAAGGCGGCUUACUGGACGGUAACUGACGUUGAGGCUCGAAAGCGUGGGGAGCAAACA